AAAACCAUUGACAUGGCCACCAAAAUAGUUUUCACCUUCAAAAAGGGAGACCAAUUUCAAAAUAUGCCCAAUCAUCAUCUGCAUUCUCAUGUACAUAACAUAUAUGUAUAGUUCUCCUACCAAAAUGGGAAAUUACACCAAAAUACCAGAGUUAUUAUGCACCCAUAUACAUAGAAUUCCCACCAAAAGGGGAAGCUUCAUCAAAUAGAAACAAAAAUGUUUGCAUUUCUACAUGCAUAAAUCCCUAGCAAUUGCAUCCUUACCUGCAUCUCAUGCAUCAUUAAAUACAUGGAAUUUCCACCCAUACUGGAACAUCAUACAUAAAGAUCAUACAUAACACCAAUCAGGAUCCAGGAUCAACCACAAGUAUCCAGGAUAGUCCUUAUUCAAGGCAGUGGUGUUCUUACCCUGCAUGUGUUCAUGGAAUUAUUUCCCAGCAAGUCAUUCCUUCAACUUCAUGGUUGAUAAGGGAAUUCCCCGACAUUUUUU
rnacentral:lncRNA from 1 species